UGCCUGUUGAUUUUAAUUCUAUAACAGGUAAGUCCUGCCCAGUGAAUAUCUUAAACGGCCGCGGUAUCCUGACCGUGCAAAGGUAGCAUAAUCAUUUGCCUUCUAAUUAGAGGCUCGUAUGAACGGAUAGACGAAAAAUUCCCUGUCUCCUUUAUAUUCUUAUAAAUUAACCCUUAGGUGAAGAGGCCUAAAUCUACUUAAAAGACAAGAAGACCCUGCUGAGCUUUAACUUAAACGGAACUUUUCCUUCCAAAGCCCAUUCUCCCUUUAGUUUUGUUGGGGCGACAAGGGAGCAAAAAAAACCUCCCCACCAAAGAAGAUCCCCAUUCUACUAAAUGACCCAUUUUUUGAUCCAAGAUAUUAGCUACCACAGGGAUAACAGACUAAUUUUCCUUAAGAGUCCACAUUUACAGGAAAGUUUGGCACCUCGAUGUUGGCUUAGGAACCCUUCUAAAUGCAGCCGUUUAAAAAGGGGGUUUGUUCAACCCUUAAUCU
rnacentral:rRNA from 1 species